rnacentral:rRNA from 1 species
AUUGAACGCUGGCGGAAUGCUUUACACAUGCAAGUCGAACGGCAGCACGGGGGCAACCUUGGUGGCGAGUGGCGAACGGGUGAGUAAUACAUCGGAACGUGCCCAAUCGUGGGGGACAACUACGCGAAAAGCGUAGCUAAUACCGCAUACGAUCUACGGAUGAAAGCGGGGGAUCGCAAGACCUCGCGCGAAUGGAGCGGCCGAUGGCAGAUUAGGUAGUUGGNGGGGUAAAGGCUCACCAAGCCGUCGAUCUGUAGCUGGUCUGAGAGGACGACCAGCCACACUGGGACUGAGACACGGCCCAGACUCCUACGGAGGCAGCAGUGGGGAAUUUUGGACAAUGGGCGCAAGCCUGAUCCAGCCAUUCCGCGUGCAGGAUGAAGGCCCUCGGGUUGUAAACUGCUUUUGUACGGAACGAAACGGUUCUCUCUAAUAAGGAGGCUAAUGACGGUACCGUAAGAAUAAGCACCGGCUAACUACGU